AUACGGAGGAUCCGAGCGUUAUCCGGAUUUAUUGGGUUUAAAGGGUGCGCAGGCGGGAGAUUAAGUCGGCGGUGAAAUUUUUCAGCUCAACUGUAAAAGUGCCUUCGAAACUGGUUUCCUUGAGUGUAGAUGAAGUAGGCGGGAUUUGUGGUGUAGCGGUGAAAUGCAUAGAUAUCACGAGGAACUCCGAUUGCGCAGGCAGCUUACUAAACUACUACUGACGCUCAGGCACGAAGGCGUGGGGAUCAAACAGGAUUAGAUACCCUGGUAGUCCACGCAGUAAACGAUGAUUACUAGCUGUUUGCGAUACAAUGUAAGCGGCUGAGCGAAAGCGUUAAGUAAUCCACCUGGGGAGUACGUUCGCAAGAAUGAAACUCAAAGGAAUUGACGGGG
rnacentral:rRNA from 1 species